UAAUCAGGAUGAUCCCCGCUUCAGUCAGGAGAGCAUUCAGGACGAAUGCAGGAGAGUAUCAGGAUGAUGCUCAGGAGACUUCAGGAAGAAGUAAGGGACACCUCCAGGAUGGAGAACGAGAGCUUGUCCACGGAGCAGACAGGUGGGUCAGGAAGACUAAAGGAGUACGCACCGGCAGGGUGCAGGAUGACACGUCAGGAUGAAAGAGGGACGCCGGAAAGGGAUGGCAGGUUAGGAUAACCGUUGGAAAAGUUUUCAAGGAUUGAGCAGGGAGCACACAGGUAGCGGGAGCGCUGCAAAACGAACCGGGGGUACUGUUUUUACAGUACCCCCAUUUUUUU
rnacentral:other from 1 species